GCCAACAUGGGGAAACCCCAUCUCUAAAAAACACAAAAAAAUUAGCCAGGCUUGGUGGCACAUGGUAAUCCCAGCUACUCAGGAGGGGUCAGCAGAAGGAAAGCUGUUUCAGGACAGGCGAGGAUGGAGAAAUUGGAAAACAUGAGAGAGAGGGGCUAGUUAAUGUGGCAGGGCCAUAGAUGGGGGUGGGCACUAGUGAGCAGCUAAGCACGGAAAGACUCACCACCGAGGCAGGAGGAAGGGAUGGGAGGAGGAGAAUGGGGUUGAGGAGAUAAGGCGGGGACACAGGCUAGGGCUCAGCCGCUCUGGCUUUCAUCACCUGCUCAGCUUCCUGAUGCCUGGAAAAGAGACAACAUCAAUGUGGCCACACCACCACUGUGUGUCUGGGACCUGAGCUAAUGGAUCCAUGUGCCCCAGAGCCCAGGCUCUUUCAUGGUCCUAAUUAUGGCCUCCUGACCAGUGGUGGAUUCACUCUCUUAUUCACUUUUUCAACAUUUACUGCCCACCGGCCACAUGAGAAAUGCUAGGAGUUGCAUCAGUAAGAGGGACCAGAGAGCUCAGAGGGUUGCAGGGAGGACAGUUACAUAGACUUUCCCAGGAGAUGGUGAGGCUAGACAGAGCAUGCUGUAGAAUUCCAGAGCAAGGACACCUCACCUUGGGGAAGGAGUAGCAAAGCCAGAGAAUGAAGUGACACGGAACCAAAGCAAGAGGAAGAGUUGGCCAGGAGAGCAGAAGGGGCAAGAGCGUUCCAGGAGAGAAACAGUACACACAAAGGUAAGCAAAGGUGAGCAGGAGCCUGGCAAGCCCUAGGAACUGGGAGCAAAAUGUUCAGAAUGCUACUCGGAGGCUGAGGUGGGAGGACUCCUGAGCCCAGGAGUUUGAGACCAGCCUGGGCAACAUAGCAAGACCCAGACCCCCUCUCAAAAAAAAGUUCAGAAUGGAGAGCACAGCACCAAAAUGGUCAUCCAAGGGGUGAGACCAAAGCCAUAGUAAAAGGGCCUGCCCAGGCUAUUCAGCAAAAAGUACCAAAUAACAUGAAAUAAGGACCUAAUUAUGGGCAGACAGCCAUAGGUCACUAUAUCCUAAGACCAAAACUGUGUACAUUGUGUACUGAAUAAAAUCCAUAACCCUUGCCAGGAGUUGGGGCAGGGGUGACUGCAGUGGCUAAAUCAGUGACCAGAAGAAACAUGGACUCCUGGAAGCAAAGGCGGGUCCCAGGAAGUCACAGCGCCAAGAUAUGGAGCUGACCAUCCAUCCGGCCAGCACUAGGCAAGGUCAAACCCCUCCCUGAGAUGUAAGUGGAGGAAACCCAGGCUCAGAUGAGUCAAACUACCCCGAGAAAGAGGGUGGAAGAAUGAGGGCAUACAUGAGGUGGCACUGCUGUGUGCCCCAAGCUCCUUCCAUCUCCCAUCACACCUGGGUAAGUCCCAAUGGCAGCAACUACAUAGGGAAGGGUCACGAUGGCCUGCUUGGCUUGCAGGAGUCAGCUCAUCUAAUUCCAUAGACUCUGCAAGUCACUGUCACAUCACUUCACCCUCCCUCCUCCUGAAAGUAUUAUCAUCCCUGUUAUCACACGGUUGUAUUUUCUUGUCUGUUACCCCUACUGAUCUGUGAGCUCCCCAAAGGCAAGGGCUGGGUUUUGUUCAACCUUAUAUGUCCUGAUUCAUGUAUAAUGGGUGAUAGAUACUCCUUGGUUAAAUGAAUGAAUGAAUGGGCUCCAAGCUCCAUACUAGGUUUGGCUUAAUGGAAGUUGACCAUAAUUGACAAUACCAAUUUUUGAGCUGGUCAAGUUCAAUCCCACCAGAUGUCAUGAAAAUGGAGCCCAUGAAGAAUGAUUGACAGAAGGAAACCAG
rnacentral:lncRNA from 1 species